rnacentral:rRNA from 1 species
CUUAUUCACAUGCAAUGUCGAGCGGUAACAGAGAGUAGUUUACUAUUCUGCUGACGAGCGGCGGACGGGUGAGUAAUGCCUAGGAAUCUGCCUAAUAGUGGGGGAUAACUUGCCGAAAGGUAAGCUAAUACCGCAUACGUCCUACGGGAGAAAGGAGGGGACUCUUCGGAGCCUUUCGCUAUUAGAUGAGCCUAGGUCGGAUUAGUUAGUUGGUGAGGUAAUGGCUCACCAAGACCGCGAUCCGUAACUGGUCUGAGAGGAUGAUCAGUCACACUGGAACUGAGACACGGUCCAGACUCCUACGGGAGGCAGCAGUGGGGAAUAUUGGUCAAUGGGGGAAACCCUGAUCCAGCCAUGCCGCGUGUGUGAAGAAGUCUUAGGAUUGUAAGCACUUUAGUUGGGAGGAGGGCAGUUACUAAUAUUUGACUGUUUUGACGUUACCGACAGAAUAGCACGGCUACUCGUGCAGCAGCCGCGGUAUACGAAGGUGGCAGCGUUAUCGAAUACUGGCGUAAGCGCGCGUAGUGUCGUAGUAGAUGAGCCCGGCUCACUGGAUGCUCUACUGCAGCUA